GGUGGGAGGAUCACUUGAGCCUGGGAGCUGGAGGCUGCAGUGUGCUAGGAUUGUGCCAUUGCACUCCAGCCUGGGCAACAGAGGGAGACCCUGUCU
rnacentral:miRNA from 1 species